rnacentral:misc_RNA from 1 species
GGAAGUGAAAGUCGUAACAAGGUUUCCGUAGGUAAACCUGCGGAAGGAUCAUUCAUAAUAAGUGUUUUAUGGCACUUUUUUAAAUCCAUAUCCACCUUGUGUGCAAUGUCAGGGUUGAUUUUUCUCUCGAGAGGAUCAACCCCAAACAUCAACUAUAUCUCAACUCUUUGUCUGAAAAAUAUUAUGAAUAAAACAAUUCAAAAUACAACUUUCAACAACGGAUCUCUUGGCUCUC